GUUUUAUUACCAGUGUCAUAAAAAAAGUACCCAAUACCUGUUUUCCUGUGCAGAUUUGUCCAAUUUGCCUUAGUAACCCGAAGGACUUGGCAUUUGGUUGUGGGCAUCAGACAUGCUGUGAUUGCGGAGAAGACCUCAAGCUUUGUCCAGUGUGCCGAAAUCCGAUCCAAACCCGAAUAAAGCUCUACUAAGUAUUCUGUUAGCUAGUUUGAUAUUCCCAAUAUAUAUAUUUUUUUUCUUCUUGUGUGUAAAUGUGGUACCUUCGAUUGCUUGGAUUGUAUUAUUUUUCACAAUGCGUGGGCUUGACGAUUUAUAUAGGAAAUCAUUACCUUUCGUGCAUUUUAAUUUUUUCAUUGUUACUAACUUAUGCUUUGCCACUGACGUUGGAAUUUUUUUAACAGUAGAUGAAAACAGUAUUAAAUUCAAGUUGUCAAAUA